rnacentral:tRNA from 1 species
GGGCGUGUGGUCUAGUGGUAUGAUUCUCGCUUUGGGUGGCGAAGCCUUGGUUCACCAAGGCUUACUGCAUGUGAGAGGCCCUGGGUUCAAUUCCCAGCUCGCCCC